rnacentral:lncRNA from 1 species
CAUAGCAAAUAUGUGAAAGCCAGCCAGACUCUCAAUGGCAUCCAGAAACAUAAACUACAUAGAAAAGACAUGAAAGCCAGCCAGGCUUGGCUUCGAAUCCCAGCACUUUGGAAGGCUGUGGCAGGAGGGUUGCUUGAUCUCAGAAGCUUGAAACUAGCCUAGGCAACAUAGUGAGCCCUCAUCUCUACUGAAAAUCAGAAAAAUUACCCGGGUUUGGUGGUGUGAGCCUGUAGUCCCAGGAAUCAGUGGAUGAGGCCCUAGGAUGUCAUAGGCCUGAGAAUUCCAUGCUGCAGUGAGCUGUGAUUGUGCCACUGUACUCCAGCCUGGGUGAAAGAGUGAGAUCCUGUGCAGAAACAAAAGAAGAAAAAAAGAGAUGUGAAAGCCUAUAUAUUGAAGACUACCAAGUACUGCUUAGAGCAGUUAAAGACCUUUGGAAUAGAAAAUGUUUCUUCUUGCAUUUCAAGAUUGCUUUUGUUUUGGGGGGACACACUAUUUUUUAGGAAUAUGAAGUUCUUCUUAGGCAUUCCUGUAAAAAAGGCCACUUCUUGAUAGGAUUGUAUUGAAUCUGUGGGUUGCUUUGAGUUGUAUUUUUAUCUUAACCAUGUUACAACUUCCAACCCAUGGACACAAGAUGUCUGUCCAUUGAUUUAGGUCUUCCUGAAUCUCCUCGAGCAAUGUUCUGUAGUUGUCUGUGUACAAGUACUGCACCUUCUUGAACAAAUUUAUUCCCAGGCAUAUUAUUCUUACAAGUGCUAUUAUAAAUGAAAUCAUUGUGUCAAUUUUCUUCUCAGAUUGUUCAUUGCUAACACAACUGAUUGUUUACUGAAAGUUUGCUGAAUUCACUUAUUAACUCUAGUAGUGUGUGUAUGUGAGUGUGUGUGUGUGUGUGUGUGUGUGUC